rnacentral:rRNA from 1 species
AGCAGCCGCGGUAAUUCCAGCUCCAAUAGCGUAUAUUAAAGUUGUUGCAGUUAAAAAGCUCGUAGUUGAAUUUCGGGAUUAAUUUAUUGGUCGUGCAAUAGUACGUACUGGUAUUAUUGAUUCCUACCUUCUGACGAACCAUGAUGUCAUUAAUUUGGUGUCAUGGGGAAUCAGGACUGUUACUUUGAAAAAAUUAGAGUGUUUAAAGCAGGCUCACGCUUGAAUACAUUAGCAUGGAAUAACGAAAUAGGACGUUUGAUUCUAUUUUGUUGGUUUCUAGGAUCGACGUAAUGAUUAAUAGGGAUAGUUGGGGGCAUUAGUAUUCAAUUGUCAGAGGUGAAAUUCUUGGAUUUAUUGAAGACUAACUACUGCGAAAGCAUUUGCCAAGGAUGUUUUCAUUAAUCAAGAACGAAAGUUAGGGGAUUGAAGACGAUCAGAUACCGUCGUAGUCUUAACCAUAAACUAUGCCGACUAGGGAUCGGAUGAUGUUAAUUUUUUAAUGACUCA